rnacentral:rRNA from 1 species
UGGGGAAUAUUGGACAAUGGGCGAAAGCCUGAUCCAGCCAUGCCGCGUGAGUGAUGAAGGCCUUAGGGUUGUAAAACUCUUUCGCCGGGGAAGAUAAUGACGGUACCCGGAGAAGAAGCUCCGGCUAACUUCGUGCCAGCAGCCGCGGUAAUACGAAGGGAGCUAGCGUUGUUCGGAAUUACUGGGCAUAAAGCGCACGUAGGCGGGCUAUUAAGUCAGGGGUGAAAUCCCGAGGCUCAACCUCGGAACUGCCUUUGAUACUGAUAGUCUUGAGAUCGGGAGAGGUGAGUGGAAUUCCUAGUGUAGAGGUGAAAUUCGUAGAUAUUAGGAAGAACACCAGUGGCGAAGGCGGCUCACUGGCCCGAUACUGACGCUGAGGUGCGAAAGCGUGGGGAGCAAACAGGAUUAGAUACCCACGUAGUCCCUGAGCGGGCUGGCAAGGCGCAU